CCCUUAGAUGUUCUGGGCCGCACGCGCGCUACACUGAUGCAUUCAACGAGUCUAAAACCUGCUCUGAUAGGGGUGGGUAAUCUUUUGAAUGUGCAUCGUGAUUGGGAUAGAUGAUUGCAAUUUUUCAUCUUCAACGAGGAAUGCCUAGUAAACGCAAGUCAUCAGCUUGCAUUGAUUACGUCCCUGCCCUUUGUACACACCGCCCGUCGCACCUACCGAUUGAAUGGUCCGGUGAAAUCUUCGGAUUGAGACUUUGAUUUCUUCACGGAAAACGCUGUUUUAAAAAGUUGAUUAAACCUUACCAUUUAGAGGAAGGUGAAGUCGUAACA
rnacentral:rRNA from 1 species